AUACGGAGGGUGCGAGCGUUAAUCGGAAUUACUGGGCGCAAAGCGUACGUAGGCGGUUGGUUAAGUUAGAUGUGAAAGCCCCGGGCUUAACCUGGGAACUGCAUUUAAAACUGGCGAACUAGAGUUGAGUAGAGGGGAGUGGAAUUUCAGGUGUAGCGGUGAAAUGCGUAGAGAUCUGAAGGAACACCAGUGGCGAAGGCGACUCCCUGGACUCGAACUGACGCUGAGGUACGAAAGCGUGGGUAGCAAACGGGAUUAGAAACCCUUGUAGCCC
rnacentral:rRNA from 1 species